rnacentral:pre_miRNA from 1 species
GAUGUCGUCUUACCUGAGCAAUAUUAGAGUGCUAUUUGAUUCAUCUAAUACUGUCAGGUAAUGAUGAUCAC